rfam:Salmo salar isolate Sally breed double haploid chromosome ssa07, whole genome shotgun sequence.
UGCAUUCACUACUGUAAGUCGCUCUGGAUAAGAGCGUCUGCUAAAUGACAAGAA